rnacentral:rRNA from 1 species
GUGGUAGGAGUAGAGUGCUGAUCGUGCAUGUCGUAGCUGCAKGCAGUAGCAGAGUGUGACUCUGUCGAUUCAGCGGCGGACGGGUGAGUAAUACCUAGGAAUCUGCCUGGUAGUGGGGGACAACGUUUCGAAAGGAACGCUAAUACCGCAUACGUCCUACGGGAGAAAGCAGGGGACCUUCGGGCCUUGCGCUAUCAGAUGAGCCUAGGUCGGAUUAGCUAGUUGGUGAGGUAAUGGCUCACCAAGGCGACGAUCCGUAACUGGUCUGAGAGGAUGAUCAGUCACACUGGAACUGAGACACGGUCCAGACUCCUACGGGAGGCAGCAGUGGGGAAUAUUGGACAAUGGGCGAAAGCCUGAUCCAGCCAUGCCGCGUGUGUGAAGAAGGUCUUCGGAUUGUAAAGCACUUUAAGUUGGGAGGAAGGGCAUUAACCUAAUACGUUAGUGUUUUGACGUUACCGACAGAAUAAGCACCGGCUAACUCUGUGCCAGCAGCCGCGGUAAUACAGAGGGUGCAAGCGUUAAUCGGAAUUACUGGGCGUAAAGCGCGCGUAGGUGGUUCGUUAAGUUGGAUGUGAAAUCCCCGGGCUCAACCUGGGAACUGCAUCCAAAACUGGCGAGCUAGAGAAGGGGCAGAAAGGUGGUGGAAUUUCCUGUGUAGCGGUGAAAUGCGUAGAUAUAGGAAGGAACACCAGUGGCGAAGGCGACCACCUGGGCUCAUACUGACACUGAGGUGCGAAAGCGUGGGGAGCAAACAGGAUUAGAUACCCUGGUAGUCCACGCCGUAAACGAUGUCAACUAGCCGUUGGAAUCCUUGAGAUUUUAGUGGCGCAGCUAACGCAUUAAGUUGACCGCCUGGGGGAGUACGGCCGCAAGGUUAAAACUCAAAUGAAUUGACGGGGGUCGCACAAGCGGUGGAGCAUGUGGCUUAAUUCGAAGCAACGCGAAGAACCUUACCAGGGCCUUGGACAUGCAGAAGAAC